rnacentral:rRNA from 1 species
GAUGAACGCUGGCGGCGUGCCUAAUACAUGCAAGUCGAGCGAACUACUUCGGUGGUGAGCGGCGAACGGGUGAGUAACACGUAGGUGAUCUGCCCAUCAGACGGGGACAACGAUUGGAAACGAUCGCUAAUACCGGAUAGGACGAAAGUUUAAAGGUGCUUCUGGCACCGCUGAUGGAUGAGCCUGCGGCGCAUUAGCUAGUUGGUAGGGUAAAGGCCUACCAAGGCGACGAUGCGUAGCCGACCUGAGAGGGUGAACGGCCACACUGGGACUGAGACACGGCCCAGACUCCUACGGGAGGCAGCAGUAGGGAAUCUUCUGCAAUGGGCGAAAGCCUGACCGAGCAACGCCGCGUGAAUGAUGAAGGCCUUCGGGUUGUAAAAUUCUGUUAUAAGGGAAGAACGACUUUAGUAGGAAAUGGCUAGAGUGCGACGGUACCUUAUGAGAAAGCCACGGCUAACUACGUGCCAGCAGCCGCAGUAACAC